GACGAACGCUGGCGGCGUGCUUAACACAUGCAAGUCGAACGGAAAGACCCUGCUUUUGUGGGGUGCUCGAGUGGCGAACGGGUGAGUAACACGUGAGUAACCUGCCCUUGACUUUGGGAUAACUUCAGGAAACUGGGGCUAAUACCGGAUAGGAGCUCCUGCUGCAUGGUGGGGGUUGGAAAGUUUCGGCGGUUGGGGAUGGACUCGCGGCUUAUCAGCUUGUUGGUGGGGUAGUGGCUUACCAAGGCUUUGACGGGUAGCCGGCCUGGGAGGGUGACCGGCCACAUUGGGACUGAGAUACGGCCCAGACUCCUACGGGAGGCAGCAGUGGGGAAUAUUGCACAAUGGGCGGAAGCCUGAUGCAGCAACGCCGCGUGCGGGAUGACGGCCUUCGGGUUGUAAACCGCUUUCGCCUGUGACGAAGCGUGAGUGACGGUAAUGGGUAAAGAAGCACCGGCUAACUACGUG
rnacentral:rRNA from 1 species